rnacentral:rRNA from 1 species
CCCUUAGAUGUCCUGAGCUGCACGCGUACUACAAUGGCACUUUCAACGAGUUUUUCCUAGUCCGAAAGGAUUUGGGUAAUCUUUUUAGGGAGUGCCGUGCUUGGGAUAGAUCUUUGUAAUUGUGGAUCUUGAACUAGGAAUUCCUAGUAAGCGCGAUUCAUCAAAUCGUGCUGAUUACGUCCCUGCAAAAUGUACACACCGCCCGUCGCACCUACCGAUUGAAUGGUCCGGUGAAAUCUCGGGACGGCGGCUUGGUCGCUUGCGUCCGACUGCUGAAACUUGAUUAAACCAUAUCAUUUAGAGGAAGGUGAAGUCGUAACA